rnacentral:rRNA from 1 species
GGUGCUAAUACCGGAUAAGAAAGCGGAUCGCAUGAUCAGCUUUUAAAAGGCGGCGUAAGCUGUCGCUAUGGGAUGGCCCCGCGGUGCAUUAGCUAGUUGGUAAGGUAAAGGCUUACCAAGGCAAUGAUGCAUAGCCGAGUUGAGAGACUGAUCGGCCACAUUGGGACUGAGACACGGUCCAAACUCCUACGGGAGGCAGCAGCA